GGGUAUGUAACUUAGCGGCAGAGCAUGUGCUUGGCAUGCACAAGGUCUUGGGUUCAAUCCCCAGCACCUA
rnacentral:tRNA from 1 species